rnacentral:rRNA from 1 species
AUUGAACGCUGGCGGCAGGCCUAACACAUGCAAGUCGAGCGGAUGAAGGGAGCUUGCUCCUGGAUUCAGCGGCGGACGGGUGAGUAAUGCCUAGGAAUCUGCCUGGUAGUGGGGGAUAACGUCCGGAAACGGGCGCUAAUACCGCAUACGUCCUGAGGGAGAAAGUGGGGGAUCUUCGGACCUCACGCUAUCAGAUGAGCCUAGGUCGGAUUAGCUAGUUGGUGGGGUAAAGGCCUACCAAGGCGACGAUCCGUAACUGGUCUGAGAGGAUGAUCAGUCACACUGGAACUGAGACACGGUCCAGACUCCUACGGGAGGCAGCAGUGGGGAAUAUUGGACAAUGGGCGAAAGCCUGAUCCAGCCAUGCCGCGUGUGUGAAGAAGGUCUUCGGAUUGUAAAGCACUUUAGGUUGGGAGGAAGGGCAGUAAGUUAAUACCUUGCUGUUUUGACGGUACCAACAGAAUAAGCACCGGCUAACUUCGUG